AGAACGAACGCUGGCGGCAUGGAUUAGGCAUGCAAGUCGAACGAAGUAGCAAUACGUUAGUGGCGCAAGGGUGAGGAACGCGUGAGUGACCUACCCGCAAGUUUGGAACAGCUCCUGGAAACGGGAAUUAAUACCGGGUGUGAUCAAUGAGCUGCAUGGUUUAUUGAUUAAAGCAGUAAUGCGCUUGCGGAUGGGCUCGCGUCCCAUUAGCUAGUUGGUGAGGUAACGGCCCACCAAGGCCAUGAUGGGUAGCUGGUCUGAGAGGACGACCAGCCACACUGGGACUGAGAACUGCCCAGACUCCUACGGGAGGCUGCAGUCGAGAAUUUUGGGCAAUGGACGAAAGUCUUGACCCAGCAAUGCCGCGUGCGGGAUGAAGGUCUUCGGAUUGUAAACCGCUGUUUGGAGGGACGAAAAUUGACGGUACUUCCAGAGAAAGCCACGGCUAACUACGUGCCAGCCGCCGC
rnacentral:rRNA from 1 species